rnacentral:rRNA from 1 species
GCCUAUGGCCAUGCCACCAUGAACACGCCCAAGCUAAGCAGGGUCAGGCCUGGUUAGUACUUGGAUGGGAGACCACCUAGGAAUACCAGGUGCUGUAGGCU